UUGAAGAGUUUGAUCAUGGCUCAGAUUGAACGCUGGCGGCAGGCCUAACACAUGCAAGUCGAACGGUAACAGGAAGAAGCUUGCUUCUUUGCUGACGAGUGGCGGACGGGUGAGUAAUGUCUGGGAAACUGCCUGAUGGAGGGGGAUAACUACUGGAAACGGUAGCUAAUACCGCAUAACGUCGCAAGACCAAAGAGGGGGACCUUCGGGCCUCUUACCAUCGGAUGUGCCCAGAUGGGAUUAGCUAGUAGGUGGGGUAACGGCUCACCUAGGCGACGAUCCCUAGCUGGUCUGAGAGGAUGACCAGCCACACUGGAACUGAGACACGGUCCAGACUCCUACGGGAGGCAGCAGUGGGGAAUAUUGCACAAUGGGCGCAAGCCUGAUGCAGCCAUGCCGCGUGUAUGAAGAAGGCCUUCGGGUUGUAAAGUACUUUCAGCGGGGAGGAAGGGAGUAAAGUUAAUACCUUUGCUCAUUGACGUUACCCGCAGAAGAAGCACCGGCUAACUCCGUGCCAGCAGCCGCGGUAAUACGGAGGGUGCAAGCGUUAAUCGGAAUUACUGGGCGUAAAGCGCACGCAGGCGGUUUGUUAAGUCAGAUGUGAAAUCCCCGGGCUCAACCUGGGAACUGCAUCUGAUACUGGCAAGCUUGAGUCUCGUAGAGGGGGGUAGAAUUCCAGGUGUAGCGGUGAAAUGCGUAGAGAUCUGGAGGAAUACCGGUGGCGAAGGCGGCCCCCUGGACGAAGACUGACGCUCAGGUGCGAAAGCGUGGGGAGCAAACAGGAUUAGAUACCCUGGUAGUCCACGCCGUAAACGAUGUCGACUUGGAGGUUGUGCCCUUGAGGCGUGGCUUCCGGAGCUAACGCGUUAAGUCGACCGCCUGGGGAGUACGGCCGCAAGGUUAAAACUCAAAUGAAUUGACGGGGGCCCGCACAAGCGGUGGAGCAUGUGGUUUAAUUCGAUGCAACGCGAAGAACCUUACCUGGUCUUGACAUCCACGGAAGUUUUCAGAGAUGAGAAUGUGCCUUCGGGAACCGUGAGACAGGUGCUGCAUGGCUGUCGUCAGCUCGUGUUGUGAAAUGUUGGGUUAAGUCCCGCAACGAGCGCAACCCUUAUCCUUUGUUGCCAGCGGUCCGGCCGGGAACUCAAAGGAGACUGCCAGUGAUAAACUGGAGGAAGGUGGGGAUGACGUCAAGUCAUCAUGGCCCUUACGACCAGGGCUACACACGUGCUACAAUGGCGCAUACAAAGAGAAGCGACCUCGCGAGAGCAAGCGGACCUCAUAAAGUGCGUCGUAGUCCGGAUUGGAGUCUGCAACUCGACUCCAUGAAGUCGGAAUCGCUAGUAAUCGUGGAUCAGAAUGCCACGGUGAAUACGUUCCCGGGCCUUGUACACACCGCCCGUCACACCAUGGGAGUGGGUUGCAAAAGAAGUAGGUAGCUUAACCUUCGGGAGGGCGCUUACCACUUUGUGAUUCAUGACUGGGGUGAAGUCGUAACAAGGUAACCGUAGGGGAACCUGCGGUUGGAUCACCUCCUU
rnacentral:rRNA from 1 species